AACCUAUCCGACAGUCCAAAUUCGUUCAACCUCUUUAAACAUAUCUAAAACUCAAAUCCUAAUUCAUUUUCAACCCACAGCAUCCGUCUCUCUUUCCCUUUUCUGUCAUUUCUAUCACCACUGUUACCAAUUUGAAACGCAUCACAACGCGACUGUCGUUCCACCUCUUCAUCUGUCACUUCCCCCAAAUUAAAUCAAGGACGAGAAUCUCGCUGAUACUUUUCCCCGUCCUCUCAUCUCCGCCCCCUGACCCGUCUCUGAAACAGUAACCCUAAAAAUGAAAAUUCAAAAAUCAAUCAUCAUCACACCCUUAAAAGAUCCAAAAACACAUCGUCACCUAAAUUCUCUCACUAAAUCUCCCUUAAAGUUUCGCAUGCAUCUCUGAAUCAAACUGGAGACACGAGAUUCAGAGGAAUCUAUGAUUUUAUGCUUGUCCUGCAUGAUCCGUUGGUUAAAGCUUCAACCCAGUGGUGUAUUUUCAUAACCAUGGGCAAAACUAGGGGUUUUGAGACCGCAAUGGCUUCCUUCUCAUCACCAAACAUCGAAGGUGAAUCUUUUCCUCUUUUACCUUCUUCAUCAGUAUUCAAACUUCGAAUAUUCUGAAUUUCAAAUUCAAAAGCAACCCUAAAACUUUGGAUAUAAAUACCAGGCUUUAAUGCCUUCAACAACCACGGGUUAAUAUGUUAUUGAAUACAUAGAGUCAACUGUUAAAAACAUUUUCGACUUUGAGUCGCAUUGCUUUCCUUUUUCUUUUCUUCUGUUCUUGCUGAGUUUUCUCUUUGAGUUUGAUUCUGGAGAUAACCCUUUGACGACUCGACUCAACGCCUUGGUUUGCUGCCUCAGAGAAGGUUAGUAUUCGUUUACUUCUGUUCGCUCCAGUUUAUUUAAAGUUGUAAGCAUGUUAUAUUGAAUAUGUGUUAAUAACUUCCACGUUUGGCAUAUAUAGUAUUUGUUUGAAUGUUUCAUCUAGAGGUUCAUGAAAAUUCAUAUGGAUAGUUAUGAUUUAAGUCGAAAUCUAUCUGUAAAUAUUUGUUGUGAAGUUUGGUUCUUUAGCAUAUUAGAAAAUCAUGUCUUAAGUUUUCAGGUUGAUGUACUCGCUAAACUCUGCUGAUAUGAAUACUUAUUUCUCGACCAUGACUGAAUUUUGUUUGUAAAUUCAGUAAUUAUUCUUCUAUCUUCUCACACGAAAGCAUAUGUUCAAAAUGUUACCUCUUGUCAUCAUAAAACUGUGACACCUUCGUGUGAAUAUAAAUCAUGUUAUAUGAUCAUCAUUUGCUUUAGUUUAAAUGUAUUGAUAGGGAAUUGGACAUUCUAAAUCUUUUUUUGGGAGGCUUACUUGUCUACUGUGAGCAUGACUCUCCAUGAGUAAAGCAUGAAACCUAUUCCAUAACCUAAAGGAUUAUGAUUAUAGGAUUUACUGUUGGUAUGCUCUAUGGGCUUUGAACAUGAAUUGGAUUAGAUUACCAUGUCUUGAUUAAUGUAUUGAUCACCACAUUUAUAUAACUGUCGUAACCUUGUAUAAGUCUUGUUUGGUUCAUGGUUUCAUAAUUUAGAUUCAUUGAUUUUGCAAACGUUAUAAUUAUGUGAACAGAAUCAUGUUCAGAGGAUGUUAUAUGAGACAUGCUAUUGUAAUAUUGUUUUGAUUCAUUUACUUGGCAUGAGUGGGAUUUUAUGUAUUCUUGUAAUGACUUGGCCGAUCGUUUUGAGUAUUUUAGUCGAGUUUCCCCUAUUUGAUGUUUUAUAUAUAUGCAAUUGAGGUUUCAUGACUCGCAUGGUUGGUUGGUUGGGCUUCAGGGAAGUUUUGAAUUGAAUUGAGACACUUAAUCUCAAGGUUGGGUGCUUAAAUUGUAAGAGUUGACUAGAGUUUGACUUUUGUAUAGAAGACCUCAGAAUGGUAUUUAGACUGUUUUAAUAGGUUCGUAUGGUGAUUAUGGAUUUAGGCGUAUGUCCGAAUAUGGAUUUGGAGCCAUGUAGGUUGGUUUGGACCUAUUUGGCAAAAGUUGGAAAGUUGACGGUUUAGAAAGUUCAUAGGUAUGACCGGGAGUUGACUUUGGUGAUAUCGGGUUUAGAUUGUGGUUCCGAGAGUUAGAAUAAGCCCGUUUUGUUAUUUGGGACUUGUCUGCAAAAUUUGAAGUAAAUCCGAGUUGAUUUGAUGUGGUUCAACAUGCGUUUUUGAAGUUGGAAGUUCAUUAGUUUCCUUAUGCUUGAAUUGGGGUGCGAUUAAUGGUUUCGAUGUUGUUUUGUGUGAUUUGAGGCCUUGAGUAAGUUAGUGUUAUAUGUUGGGAUUGGUUUGUGUGGUUAGGCUACUAUGAGACUAGUUUGGUUUCAUGCCUCAUUAUAUCCGUGUUUUCUCUAAUUAAAUGAUAUUUUGAGCUAUGAUUUAUGGUAGAAAUCAUGUCUAAGCUAUGUGCUUAAUUGUUUGAGACAUAAUAAAGCUAUUCUUGCUUUUUUGAGUUGUUUGCCUUUAUUGUAGACCUAUUCUUAGUCAUAAUUCUUAAUCCGUAUGUUAUCUCUUAGUCUCUGUACGCUAUUUGUAUGUCAUAUCACAUGUUGUUGAUGCCUUCAGAUGUGGUACUGUUUGGGCUGAGUUCUAUAAGAUGUGAGCCAUUGAGACUUGAACGGUUGAUGACUGAUGUGGGCCCUAAAGCCGUAUUGUGAUUUUAUAUUGGAUAGGGUUUCAUACCAUAACAGAUUGAUAUUUGGAUCGGGUUGCACGCCGCAACAGUUAUAUUGAUUGAUGAUUAGUGCUUGGGCAGGGAUCCGCUCCUCUGGUGUCUGAUGUUAUAGUGAGCGCAAGCACAAUGUUAUAUAUGUACUUUGGUGAGGGUAUUGUGGAAGGAACCCGUACAGUGCUGAGUGUGGAUGUGUGUGUGAUAGUGAAUGGCACUUGUGCCAGGCACCAUGAGUGUGCUGAGAGUACUUUCGGGUGUGGUGAUUGCUAGAUUUCGCACCGGUACCAGCUUAUGGAGACUACUAGGUAAAUGCUAUGUCGUUUGAAGACCUUGAAGUUCUCUUUCUUUAUUUCUCUUAUCACUAUUCUAUUAUUCAAACAACUUGUAUUGAGGAUUUGGUCAUGUAUUUUGAGAUUCUGUAGUGCUCAUGUACUCAUUGAAACCAUAUCAUCGGGAUGGUUGUAGUUGCGAUAUUGUUGCUUUUUUCAGAUAUGUAUGAUUAUUUUGUUGUUGAGAUUAUUAAGUUAUGUUAUUUGAGUUUUAUUA